rnacentral:lncRNA from 1 species
UUUUUUUUGUUGAAGGAAACCUGAUGCUCUAAUUUUGCUAUGCAGGUUUCUGCUGGUGAUCUUCUGCUUUAGUUGUUCAAACCAUAAUCGUGUUUGCAUAUCCAUAUGUACUUAUUUCUAUAGAUGUAUAUCAUAUUCUAGAGUGCUAGAUUACACUGGAGAACAAAACAAUUAGUUGUCCACCAGUCUUGUUUAUAUCAAUGCUUGCAUCCUCCCAGGCUUAUCAGGAGAGAAUCUAGUUUUCCAUGGAAACAAGGUGAUCGUGCAUUAUUUAUUCACUCAUGUUACUAAAGCUUCUGUUGUCAAGGAGGCAGUAAUAUUCCAAGUACAUAACUACUUCUUAUUCAGUAAUAUUAAGCAUGAUUAUACAAAACUACAUAUUAAAAAGGUAUAUGAAUCAUAGUCUAGACAUCUCACACUUGCUAGCAUGCGUAAGUGUGUAUGUAAAUUUGAUCGAUUUUGUUUAACUUUAGGUACUUCUAAAUUCUCAUAUGUUUGUAUUUAUUCACACAUUAUGAUGAACUACAAUCUUUUCUAGAUCAGACGAAAGCAUAACAACAAAAAAUGUUUCAUGAGAUGCCACUUCACAUCUUUUAUUCUCACCAGUAUGUGAAUUUUAAGUUGUUACUUAGUGAACUAUAGUCUUGCAGGUUUACACAUAAUAUUAAAGAUAUAAAUCUACAUGAUGUAAUCAGAUUGCGCAUUUGAAUGAGUGCUGCAAGCUGGGAAGGUAAAUAUGACCAGCGAUGAUGGCAGUACGUCAAUGACGUCAUGGAGGUGUGGUGUUCAUCGAUCCCUUCUCUCUUUUUGUUUGUGCGGGUGGCGUGUGUAUAUGGAUUCAUCUUUAUAUGUCAUGUUAAUUGUUCAUUUAGAUUGAUCUCUCUCUCCGAGAACGUUUGCCCCAUGUAUUUGAUAUCAUCUUAGAAAAGAUUGAUUAGUUUUGGUGCCAACUCUUUCUAGAUUAUUUCAGAUAUGAUGUCUCGAUUAGAAAAAUAAUAUCACUAGAGGUAUUUUCUGUUGUAAUUUGUGUAUGUGUUUUUCAUGUUGUGCAAUAGUAUUUUUUUCUCUUUCUCAAGAAUCUUAAUUAUUGAUGCAUAUGAUUGUAGGAUAAUUAACUCUAACAACUGCUCUGUGCCUGCGCCUAUUCAUAUGCUCUGACUUCGGAAGUGCAAACCAAUAAAAAGGUAAGCUCCAAACAUAGAGCCUUUUUCUAAUUUGUAUUUUGUUUCCUAUAAUUUCUGAUGACUAUAAAUGUGAACAUGACCCAGUAUUUACAAGCAUAAGUUGUGGUUAGCUUUAUCAUCUCUUCCACAUUUAGCACAAUCUGUUCACCCAUUGCAAUCAACAUUAUUAAUUGAAUAUGUGGCUGGGCAUUCACUAUGCCAAAUUUACAGGAAAUGUAGCCUCAUUUAAUUUUUGUUACUUGCAUGUUUUUUCUUUGCUUAUAUUGUCUGAAUCUAAAUUUGUACAUAACUCCAAAGGGAUAACCUUGAAAUAAGAAAGAAAUUCUUGGCUGGUACCUGCACUUAAAUUCAUCGAGAACUUAUUAUUACCCAAAGUGCUAUAUUAACUGUUCGUAUUUCAUUCAUUGCUAGCAGAGAGAUGCAGAAUAUGCAGUUUACUAUAGCUGCAAUUGGCAUUAACUAUCUUCAAGAUAUGGAGUUAUGGAUGCCAAGGGAAACUGAUCAUUUUGGUUUUAGUUAAUGAAGGUUGAACAUGUCAGUCUAGAUGCUCAUGUGAUGAGCUUAGUUUUUUGUUUCCUUCAAUGAAGCUUCGAUCUGUU